rnacentral:sRNA from 19 species
GAGAGCUUAAAGAGUAAAGCACUUGGUGUCGAAACAAGGCAAGACUUCCAGGUGCUUUUCUCA